AGUGAACGCUGGCGGCGUGCUUAACACAUGCAAGUCGAACGAGAACGGGUUAUAGCUUGUUAUAAUUGUCAGCUAAGUGGCGCACGGGUGAGUAAUGUAUAGGUAAUAUGCCUCUUACUAAGGGAUAACAAAUGGAAACGUUUGCUAAUACCUUAUACUCCUUAUUAACAGAAGUUAAUAAGGGAAAGAUUUAUUGGUAAGAGAUUAGCUUGUAUUGUAUCAGUUAGUUGGUGUGGUAAUGGCUUACCAAGACUAUGACACAUAACUGGUUUGAGAGGAUGAUCAGUCACACUGGGACUGAGACACGGUCCAGGCUCCUACGGGAGGCAGCAGGGGGGAAUAUUGCACAAUGGACGGAAGUCUGAUGCAGCAACGCCGCGUGGAGGAUGACACAUUUCGGUGCGUAAACUCCUUUUAUAUGAGAAGAUAAUGACGGUAUUAUAUGAAUAAGCACCGGCUAACUCCGUGCCAGCCGCCGCGGUAA
rnacentral:rRNA from 1 species